UACGUAGGGGGCUAGCGUUGUCCGGAAUCAUUGGGCGUAAAGCGCGUGUAGGCGGUCCGGUAAGUCCGCUGUGAAAGUCGGGGGCUCAACCCUCGAAUGCCGGUGGAUACUGUCGGGCUAGAGUGCGGAAGAGGCGAGUGGAAUUCCUGGUGUAGCGGUGAAGUGCGCAGAUAUCAGGAGGAACACCGAUGGCGAAGGCAGCUCGCUGGGACGGUACUGACGCUGAGACGCGAAAGCGUGGGGAGCAAACAGG
rnacentral:rRNA from 1 species